UACGGAGGGGGCUAGCGUUGUUCGGAAUCACUGGGCGUAAAGCGCGUGUAGGCGGCCUCCUAAGUCUGGUGUGAAAGCCCGGGGCUUACCCCCGGAAGUGCACUGGAAACUGGGAGACUAGAGUACCGGAGAGGAGGGUGGAAUUCCUGGUGUAGCGGUGAAAUGCGUAGAUAUCAGGAAGAACACCGGUGGCGAAGGCGGCCCUCUGGACGGAUACUGACGCUGAGACGCGAAAGCGUGGGGAGCAAACAGG
rnacentral:rRNA from 1 species